rnacentral:piRNA from 1 species
UGUUUGCAAAGGUGCUUCUUGGAGUUGC